GGUAGCUUGCUACCCGCUGACGAGCGGCGGACGGGUGAGUAAUGCAUAGGAAUCUGCCCGAUAGUGGGGGAUAACCUGGGGAAACCCAGGCUAAUACCGCAUACGUCCUACGGGAGAAAGGGGGCUCCGGCUCCCGCUAUUGGAUGAGCCUAUGUCGGAUUAGCUAGUUGGUGAGGUAAUGGCUCACCAAGGCAACGAUCCGUAGCUGGUCUGAGAGGAUGAUCAGCCACAUCGGGACUGAGACACGGCCCGAACUCCUACGGGAGGCAGCAGUGGGGAAUAUUGGACAAUGGGGGCAACCCUGAUCCAGCCAUGCCGCGUGUGUGAAGAAGGCCCUCGGGUUGUAAAGCACUUUCAGCGAGGAAGAACGCCUGUCGGUUAAUACCCGGUAGGAAAGACAUCACUCGCAGAAGAAGCACCGGCUAACUCCGUGCCAGCAGCCGCGGUAAUACGGAGGGUGCAAGCGUUAAUCGGAAUUACUGGGCGUAAAGCGCGCGUAGGUGGCUUGAUAAGCCGGUUGUGAAAGCCCCGGGCUCAACCUGGGAACGGCAUCCGGAACUGUCAGGCUAGAGUGCAGGAGAGGAAGGUAGAAUUCCCGGUGUAGCGGUGAAAUGCGUAGAGAUCGGGAGGAAUACCAGUGGCGAAGGCGGCCUUCUGGACUGACACUGACACUGAGGUGCGAAAGCGUGGGUAGCAAACAGGAUUAGAUACCCUGGUAGUCCACGCCGUAAACGAUGUCGACCAGCCGUUGGGUGCCUAGAGCACUUUGUGGCGAAGUU
rnacentral:rRNA from 1 species